AUGAGGAGGUGGUUCGAGUUAUUUUUCCGCAAGACCCCGCCUGUAUUAUCAAUUUAUCAUCACCGACUCACCGUAGUCAAGGCAAUUUCAAAGCGUAGAUUCUGCACGAAUGGGCUUCAGCCCAAUGACCAGCUUGGGCGUGUGAGACGGGCCUCUAACAGAAUCUGACAGACGUGAUUUUCAUCAAAAAAAAAUCUAAAAAUCGGCGAUAUUUCAUGUAUUACUUGUGGCACCUUUCAAGGGGAAAAUGUGUGAGAGCAUAUAUGUUUUACGUGCAAAUCUAUGUCUUAAAAUCAGAAGUCUUACUCCUACUGAAAUACAAUACUAGUAAAUGUAUAUCCUGAGAGCAUACCUUACUGUGUUAGAUCUAGCAGUAUCAGCUUCUAAGUUUUUGGAGGCCGAAAUCAAUUGGUUACGGUACAAAACUGGCAUGCGUUGUUGAUCAGAUAAGAAGUUUAUGAAUUUUGUUUUUUCAGUUUUGUGGCGUCUUGGUAAAUUGGCCAUGUUGGUUUCAGGUAUUCUCGAUGACAGUAAUCCCAAAAGUUAAUAAUCUGGUAGUGUCCUCAAUCAUCCAACGACCUGGAAAAGUGCUGCGGUAUGAUUUCUCUACUUAUUAGUGAUAUAUGUUGUUCUUAUUUAUCGUGCUUUUUCCCCCUGCUUCAUUGGUCACAAAUUUGCUAUAACUGGGAACGGGAGCGAUUAAAACUGUUACCAAUUAUUCUCUAUUAACUGGAAUUUAAAGUUGUGUUAUGUUGAACUGAAAGGAUUUAUAAAGGAAAGGAAUGAGAUUUGAACUAUACAACGAGUAUAUGUUUAAAGGUAUCAUUCCUUUCCCCAUUCUAUUCCUAACAACUUAAUUAAAGCUCAAAUCCCCCGUUAUGUGAAGGAAUGCUCUAUUCUCCCUUAUACCCAUUUUCUUCUCAAAUCCUAUUAUCAGAAUUUUUGCUCAUUUUUUGUUUUAAACUUCCCUCUUACCUCCAUUGUUUUCCUUUAUUCCCACUCAUUCCAUUCUCUGCAACCAAACACAACAUAAGCUUCCAUUAAGU
rnacentral:lncRNA from 1 species